rnacentral:snRNA from 1 species
UCGGAGUGGGACAAACUAGCUCAGAAUUCAUUUCUUGCCUUUUACCAGAGAUGACCGUGGUUCAUGCCCAUGAUACUCCAUUCCAUCAAUCUUUGAAAAGCAUCUUCUGGUUCUC